rnacentral:rRNA from 1 species
AAUGAACGCUGGCGGCGUGCUUAACACAUGCAAGUCGAACGGAAAGGCCCUUGCUUGCAACGGAGCUCGAGUGGCAAACGGGAGAAUAACACAUAAGUGAUCUGCCCUGCGCUGGAGGAUAACCUUGAGAAAAUGGGUCUAAUACCCUAUACGACCGCAUCAUGGUUGGUGAGCUGCAAAGGUUUUUCUGGUGUGGGAUGAGCUUGCGGACUAUCAACUUGGUGGUGGGGAAAUGGCCUACCAAGACGACCACUGGUAGCCCGCAUAAGAUGAUGUGCCGCCACAUUGCUGACUGACAUACCGCCACACACUCCUACAGGAGGCAGCAGUGAAGAAUUUUGCACAAUGGGAACCAAGCCUGAUGCAUCGACGUCGUGUGGAGAAUGAAUGCCUUCUGGUUGUAAACUCCUUUCAUCAGGAACCAACUUUUUUUGACAGUACCUGAAUAAGAAGCACCCGCUAACUACAUGCCACCAGCCACUCUAAUACAUACGGCGCGAGCGUUGUCAGGAUUUACUGGGCGUACAGAUCUCCUAGGUGGUGUGUCCCGUCAUCUGUGUAAUCCAGGGGCUUAACUUUUGCUUGACAUGCGAUACGGGCAUUGCUUGAGUGCUGUAGGGGAGACUGAAAUUCCUGGUGUAGCGGUGAAAUGCGCAGAUAUCAAGAAGAACACCGAUGGCGAAGGCAGGUCUCUGGGCAGUUACUGACGCCGAGGAGCGAGAGCAUGGGUAGCGAACAGGAUUAGAUACCCUGGUAGUCUAUGCUGUAAACGGUGGGCGCUAGGUGUGAGUCCCUUCCACGGGGUUUGUGCCGCAACUAACGCUUUAAGCGCCCCGCUUGGGGAGUACCGCCGCAAGGUUAAAAUUCAAAGGAAUUGACGGGGGCCCGCCCAAGCGGCGGAGCAUGUGGAUUAAUUGGAUGCAACGGGAAGACACCUUACCUGGGCUUGACAUAUGUGGGAUUGCGGCAGAGAUGUUGUUUCCCCUUGUGGCUCACGUACAGGUGGUGCAUGGUUGUCGUCAGCUCGUGUCGUGAGAUGUUGGGUUAAGUCCCGCAACGAGCGCAACCCUUGUCUUAUGUUGCCAGCAUGUUGUGGUGGGGACUCGUGAGAGACUGCCGGGGUUAACUCGGAGGAAGGUGGGGAUGACGUCAAAUCAUCAUGCCCCUUAUGUCCAGGGCUUCACACAUGCUACAAUGGCUGGUACAGUGCGUGUGCCACACUGUGAGGUGGAGCUAAUCGCUAAAGCCAGUUUCAGUUCGGAUUGGGGUUUGCAACUUGACCUUAUGAAGUUGGAGUCGCUAGUAAUUGCAGAUCAGCAGUGCUGCGGUGAAUACGUUCCCGGGCCU